rnacentral:tRNA from 1 species
UCCCUGGAGGACUAGUGGUUAGGCCUCAGCCCGCUCACCGCCAUGGCCCAGGUUCGAUUCCUGGCCAGGGAA